rnacentral:rRNA from 1 species
AGUAGGGCCUGCCCACUGAUUAUUUAAAGGGCCGCAGUAUUUUAACUGUGCAAAGGUAGCAUAAUCAUUAGUUUUUUAAUUGAAAGCUUGUAUGAAUGGUUUGAUGAAAAAAUUUCUGUUUCAAUGUAAAUUUUUAGAAUUUUAUUUUUAAGUUAAAAAGCUUAAAUAUUAAUAAAAGACGAGAAGACCCUAUAGAGUUUUAUUAUUAAAUAUUUUUUUUUUAAUAGAAUAUAAAUUUUAAUACAUAUUUAAUAAUUUGAUUGGGGUGAUUUAAAAAUUUAAUUAACUUUUUAUAUUUAAAUACAUUUAUUUAUGAAAAUUUGAUCCAUAAAAAUGAUUAAAAAAAU